AUUGAACGCUGGCGGCAUGCCUUACACAUGCAAGUCGAACGGCAGCAUGGAAGAGCUUGCUCUUCUGAUGGCGAGUGGCGAACGGGUGAGUAAAGCAUCGGAACGUACCGUGUAGUGGGGGAUAACGUAGCGAAAGUUACGCUAAUACCGCAUACGCACUGAGGUGGAAAGCAGGGGAUCGCAAGACCUUGCGCUAUACGAGCGGCCGAUGUCAGAUUAGCUAGUUGGUAGGGUAAAGGCCUACCAAGGCGACGAUCAGUAGGGGUUCUGAGAGGAAGGUCCCCCACACUGGCACUGAGAUACGGGCCAGACUCCUACGGGAGGCAGCAGUAGGGAAUAUUGGGCAAUGGUCGGAAGACUGACCCAGCCAUGCCGCGUGCAGGAAGACGGCCCUCUGGGUUGUAAACUGCUUUUAUCUGGGAAGAAAAAGGCCAUGCGUGGCAAAUUGCCGGUACCAGAUGAAUAAGCACCGGCUAACUCCGUG
rnacentral:rRNA from 1 species